GACCAAUGAUGUAAACAUUCUGCCAAAUGAAACAGACUGAUUUCACCUAUAAACCGUUCCAUUUUUAUUCUGAGGUU